AACGAACGCUGGCGGCAUGCCUAACACAUGCAAGUCGAACGAGACCUUCGGGUCUAGUGGCGCACGGGUGCGUAACGCGUCGGAACCUGCCCUUAGGUUCGGAAUAACUCCCCGAAAGGGGUGCUAAUACCGGAUAAUGUCUGCGGACCAAAGAUUUAUCGCCUUUGGAGGGGCACGCGUUGGUUUAGCUAGUUGGUAGGGUAAAAGCCUAUCAAGGCGACGAUACAUAGCUGGUCAGAGAGGAUGAUCAGCCACACUGGGACUGAGACACGGCCCAGACUACUACGGGAUGCAGGAGUGGGGAAUAUUGGACUAUCGGCGAAAGCCUGAUCCAGCUAUGCCGCGUGAGUGAUGAAGGCGUGAGGGUUGUAAAGCUCUUUUACCCGGGAUGAUAAUGACAGUACCGGGAGAAUAAGCUCCGGCUAACUCCGUG
rnacentral:rRNA from 1 species